GUUUUAAUAGUUUAAAUAAAAUAUUGGUCUUGUAAACCAAAGUAAACUAAAGUUUUAAAACA
rnacentral:tRNA from 1 species